rnacentral:rRNA from 1 species
UUCCCCUAGUAACGGCGAGUGAAGCGGGAAGAGCUCAAAUUUGAAAGCUGUUGCCUUUGGUAACCGCAUUGUAAUCUCGAGAUCUGUUUUCCGCGCUGGACCAUGUACAAGUCCCUUGGAAUAGGGCGUCAUAGAGGGUGAGAAUCCCGUACUUGACAUGGCCUCCCAGUGCUUUGUGAUACAGGCUCAACGAGUCGAGUUGUUUGGGAAUGCAGCUCAAAAUGGGUGGUAAAUUCCAUCUAAAGCUAAAUAUUGGGGAGAGACCGAUAGCGAACAAGUACCGUGAGGGAAAGAUGAAAAGCACUUUGGAAAGAGAGUUAAACAGUACGUGAAAUUGUCAAAAGGGAACCGUUUGAAGUUAGUCAUGCUUGCCUGGACUCAGCCUUGCUUUUGCUUGGUGCAUUUCCAGGUU